rnacentral:rRNA from 1 species
AAUCAACGCUGGCGGCGUGCCUAACACAUGCAAGUCGCACGAGAAAGCGGGCUUCGGCCUGCGAGUAAAGUGGCGCACGGGUGAGUAACACGUGAAUCAUCUACCUCCGAGUGGGGAAUAACCUAGAGAAAUCUGGGCUAAUACCGCAUAACGCUUACGAGUCAAAGCAGCAAUGCGCUUGGAGAGGAGUUCGCGGCAGAUUAGUUAGUUGGCAGGGUAAUGGCCUACCAAGACGAUGAUCUGUAUCCGGCCUGAGAGGGCGCACGGACACACUGGAACUGAAACACGGUCCAGACUCCUACGGGAGGCAGCAGUGGGGAAUUUUGCGCAAUGGGGGAAACCCUGACGCAGCAACGCCGCGUGGAGGAUGAAAUCCCUUGGGAUGUAAACUCCUUUCGAUCGGGACGAUUAUGACGGUACCGGAAGAAGAAGCCCCGGCUAACUUCGUGCCAGCCGCCGCAGUAAAAC